rnacentral:tRNA from 1 species
AGGGUGUUAAGUUAGGAAGACUGUAGCACUUCAAAUGCUGGAGCGGGCUGGGUAGCCCACACCUUG